rnacentral:rRNA from 1 species
UAAUUCGACCUGAGUUUAGGCAGGGUUA